CUCUCUCUCUCUCUCUCUUGCUUGUUUCUUAUAUACUCACCCCCCUUGCACCCCUUUUGCCUCCCUAUAACUAGCCACUCCCAUCUCCACAAACUCCCAAAACCCAUCUCAAAAAUCCAUCCUCAUCCAAAAUCCAAAACCCAAAGCAUUACUAGAUCUCUUGUUCAUGGAAACCAUGCUCUUGUUGCUUUAUUCAGAUUCAGAUGGCCCUCCGAGCUGGGUAAAACCAACUUCAAAAUUAUAUGAGGAGAUCAAAACCAAGGAAUGGAGCCGAGCUUUUGAAGCUUUGCCCACUUCUCCUCUACUGAUCUACUCUCCAUUUCAUGUAGAGUACGUAUAUAUGUAAGCGAGGAGGUGGCAUAGCAUGCACUAUAUAUGUGGGGAAUUGAGGGUUCAUGGUCCGAUCGAUCUCUUCUAGGUAUCUCAAACACUACUUUCUCUCUUUUUUCUUUUUUCUUUUUUUAGUUUCUUUUCUUGUUUCGUUUUUUUUUUUUUUUUUUUUUUUGGGUGGGUUUUACUUUGUUGGUUUCGGUUUCUCUUCUCUACUUAGUUUUCCACUAGUAUGUGGGUUCUUCUAGUUUAAGUUUGUGGGUGAAGAACAUGCAUGUUUUGUAAGCGACGCAUUCGUAGUGUUAUAUUAUAUUAUAUAAUUAAUCUACUGUGAAAGGGUGUGUGUGUGUGUGUGUGUGUGUGUGUGUGUGUGUGUGUGUGUGUGUGUUUACAUGGAUGUUUAUGUUGUUUGGCAGCUGGGAUCUGGUACUGGGAAUGCAUCACUUACACUCGUCAUGUUAUGUUCUCCCGCUACCAAGAAUCUACUUAUGAUGAGCAGAUGAUAAUAUUAUAUAUAUAUUAUAUAUAUAUAUAUAUAUAUAUAUGGUUUGGUGUCCUAUGUAUGUAUGAGUUUGUAGCUUUGUGCACAUGAGAAUAUAGUUUCGUAUUUGGCUUGUCCUUAAAUUGAAUCCCACUAAAAAUUUGGGAUCUCUUGUUAUUUUCUUUUAAUAUAAGUUUUUUCCCUUGUUGAAAUGAAUUAAUAUAUAUAUUCGGGGCAGGGAAUAUUCAGCAAAUAGGUCAGAAUAUAUAGGCAUGCCAACCUGGGCUGAACUGCUUUAAUGCCUUUUCUCAGAGUUCUCAUAACGCUGCUUUUAAUUAUAUAGGGACACCUUUUGAUUUAUUCACUCAUGCAGUGAGUGCAGUGUAAGUGUGUUAUAUGUGCUUUUUAGUACAUCAAUAAUCUCUAUAAAAGAACCCAAAUUAAG
rnacentral:lncRNA from 1 species